AAUUGCAGAAUUCAGUGAAUCAUCGAAUCUUUGAACGCACCUUGCGCCCUUUGGUAUUCCGAGGGGCAUGCCUGUUUGAGUGUCAUUAAAUACCAUCAACCCUCUUUUGACUUCGGUCUCGAGAGUGGCUUGGAAGUGGAGGUCUGCUGGAGCCUAACGGAGCCAGCUCCUCUUAAAUGUAUUAGCGGAUUUCCCUUGCGGGAUCGCGUCUCCGAUGUGAUAAUUUCUACGUCGUUGACCAUCUCGGGGCUGACCUAGUCAGUUUCAAUAGGAGUCUGCUUCUAACCGUCUCUUGACUGAGACUAGCGACUUGUGCGCUAACUUUUGACUUGACCUCAAAUCAGGUAGGACUACCCGCUGAACUUAAGCAUAUCA
rnacentral:rRNA from 1 species